AUAAUGGGUCAGCGACUUAUAUUCUGUAGCAAGGUUAACCGAAUAGGGGAGCCGAAGGGAAACCGAGUCUUAACUGGGCGUUAAGUUGCAGGGUAUAGACCCGAAACCCGGUGAUCUAGCCAUGGGCAGGUUGAAGGUUGGGUAACACUAACUGGAGGACCGAACCGACUAAUGUUGAAAAAUUAGCGGAUGACUUGUGGCUGGGGGUGAAAGGCCAAUCAAACCGGGAGAUAGCUGGUUCUCCCCGAAAGCUAUUUAGGUAGCGCCUCGUGAAUUCAUCUCCGGGGGUAGAGCACUGUUUCGGCAAGGGGGUCAUCCCGACUUACCAACCCGAUGCAAACUGCGAAUACCGGAGAAUGUUAUCACGGGAGACACACGGCGGGUGCUAACGUCCGUCGUGAAGAGGGAAACAACCCAGACCGCCAGCUAAGGUCCCAAAGUCAUGGUUAAGUGGGAAACGAUGUGGGAAGGCCCAGACAGCCAGGAUGUUGGCUUAGAAGCAGCCAUCAUUUAAAGAAAGCGUAAUAGCUCACUGGUCGAGUCGGCCUGCGCGGAAGAUGUAACGGGGCUAAACCAUGCACCGAAGCUGCGGCAGCGACACUAUGUGUUGUUGGGUAGGGGAGCGUUCUGUAAGCCUGUGAAGGUGGCCUGUGAGGGUUGCUGGAGGUAUCAGAAGUGCGAAUGCUGACAUAAGUAACGAUAAAGCGGGUGAAAAGCCCGCUCGCCGGAAGACCAAGGGUUCCUGUCCAACGUUAAUCGGGGCAGGGUGAGUCGACCCCUAAGGCGAGGCCGAAAGGCGUAGUCGAUGGGAAACAGGUUAAUAUUCCUGUACUUGGUGUUACUGCGAAGGGGGGACGGAGAAGGCUAUGUUGGCCGGGCGACGGUUGUCCCGGUUUAAGCGUGUAGGCUGGUUUUCCAGGCAAAUCCGGAAAACCAAGGC
rnacentral:rRNA from 1 species